rnacentral:rRNA from 1 species
CCAAUAGCGUAUAUUAAAGUUGUUGCAGUUAAAAAGCUCGUAGUUGAAUUUCGGGACUAAUAUGUCGGUCGUACUUUGUACGUACUAGCAUUAUUGGUUUCUCCCUUCUGACGAACCACGAUGUCAUUAAUUUGGUGUCGUGGGAAAUCAGGACUGUUACUUUGAAAAAAUUAGAGUGUUUAAAGCAAGCUCGUGCUUGAAUACAUUAGCAUGGAAUAAU